UAGUUUAAUAAACCAUUAGAGUUGGUUAGGAGUGAAUUAGCUAUAACUUGCAUGUAUAAAUAACACUUCGAUGUAAACCAUUAUCAUCAUCUCAGAUUCAAUUGAAUGAGUUUUGUUCUCACCCACGAAUCAAUGGAAUUUGUAUACAAUAUCCAGGUUUUUAUGGCAUCCUCAAUCUUCACCAUUCUUUUGGAUCUAAUCGGAUCGAUCCGAUUAGAUGAUGCUGAUAAGAUGGUGAAUCUACAAACAGUGAUUUAUAAUUACUCCAUGAGUAAUUU
rnacentral:lncRNA from 1 species